AUACGGUGAAUACGUUCCCCGACCUUGUACACACCGCCCGUCAAGCCAUGGAAGCUGGGUGUACCUAAAGUCGGUAACCGUAAGGAGCCGCCUAGGGUAAAACUAGUAACUGGGGCU
rnacentral:rRNA from 1 species